rnacentral:rRNA from 1 species
CGGCGAGCGAACGGGGAGCAGCCCAGAGUCUGAAUCAGCUUGUGUGUUAGUGGAAGCGUCUGGAAAGUCGCACGGUACAGGGUGACAGUCCCGUACACGAAAGCACACAGGUUGUGAACUCGAAGAGUAGGGCGGGACACGUGGUAUCCUGUCUGAAUAUGGGGGGACCAUCCUCCAAGGCUAAAUACUCCUGACUGACCGAUAGUGAACCAGUACCGUGAGGGAAAGGCGAAAAGAACCCCGGCGAGGGGAGUGAAAAAGAACCUGAAACCGUGUACGUACAAGCAGUGGGAGCCUCUUUUAUGGGGUGACUGCGUACCUUUUGUAUAAUGGGUCAGCGACUUAUAUUCUGUAGCAAGGUUAACCGUAUAGGGGAGCCGAAGGGAAACCGAGUCUUAACUGGGCGUUAAGUUGCAGGGUAUAGACCCGAAACCCGGUGAUCUAGCCAUGGGCAGGUUGAAGGUUGGGUAACACUAACUGGAGGACCGAACCGACUAAUGUUGAAAAAUUAGCGGAUGACUUGUGGCUGGGGGUGAAAGGCCAAUCAAACCGGGAGAUAGCUGGUUCUCCCCGAAAGCUAUUUAGGUAGCGCCUCGUGAACUCAUCUUCGGGGGUAGAGCACUGUUUCGGCUAGGGGGCCAUCCCGGCUUACCAACCCGAUGCAAACUACGAAUACCGAAGAAUGUUAUCACGGGAGACACACGGCGGGUGCUAACGUCCGUCGUGAAGAGGGAAACAACCCAGACCGCCAGCUAAGGUCCCAAAGUCAUGGUUAAGUGGGAAACGAUGUGGGAAGGCACAGACAGCCAGGAUGUUGGCUUAGAAGCAGCCAUCAUUUAAAGAAAGCGUAAUAGCUCACUGGUCGAGUCGGCCUGCGCGGAAGAUGUAACGGGGCUAAACCAUGCACCGAAGCUGCGGCAGCGACGCUUAGGCGUUGUUGGGUAGGGGAGCGUUCUGUAAGCCGUUGAAGGUGUGCUGUGAGGCAUGCUGGAGGUAUCAGAAGUGCGAAUGCUGACAUAAGUAACGAUAAAGCGGGUGAAAAGCCCGCUCGCCGGAAGACCAAGGGUUCCUGUCCAACGUUAAUCGGGGCAGGGUGAGUCGACCCCUAAGGCGAGGCCGAAAGGCGUAGUCGAUGGGAAACAGGUUAAUAUUCCUGUACUUGGUGUUACUGCGAAGGGGGGACGGAGAAGGCUAUGUUAGCCGGGCGACGGUUGUCCCGGUUUAAGCAUGUAGGCGGAACGAUUAGGUAAAUCCGGUCGUUUAUUAACGCUGAGGUGUGAUGACGAGGCACUACGGUGCUGAAGUAACAAAUGCCCUGCUUCCAGGAAAAGCCUCUAAGCAUCAGGUAACAUCAAAUCGUACCCCAAACCGACACAGGUGGUCAGGUAGAGAAUACCAAGGCGCUUGAGAGAACUCGGGUGAAGGAACUAGGCAAAAUGGUGCCGUAACUUCGGGAGAAGGCACGCUGAUAUGUAGGUGAAGCCCCUGCGGGUGGAGCUGAAAUCAGUCGAAGAUACCAGCUGGCUGCAACUGUUUAUUAAAAACACAGCACUGUGCAAACACGAAAGUGGACGUAUACGGUGUGACGCCUGCCCGGUGCCGGAAGGUUAAUUGAUGGGGUUAGCGGCAACGCGAAGCUCUUGAUCGAAGCCCCGGUAAACGGCGGCCGUAACUAUAACGGUCCUAAGGUAGCGAAAUUCCUUGUCGGGUAAGUUCCGACCUGCACGAAUGGCGUAAUGAUGGCCAGGCUGUCUCCACCCGAGACUCAGUGAAAUUGAACUCGCUGUGAAGAUGCAGUGUACCCGCGGCAAGACGGAAAGACCCCGUGAACCUUUACUAUAGCUUGACACUGAACACUGGUCCUUGAUGUGUAGGAUAGGUGGGAGGCUUUGAAGCGUGGACGCCAGUCUGCGUGGAGCCGACCUUGAAAUACCACCCUUUAAUGGCUGGUGUUCUAACGUAGACCCGUAAUCCGGGUUGCGGACAGUGUCUGGUGGGUAGUUUGACUGGGGCGGUCUCCUCCCAAAGAGUAACGGAGGAGCACGAAGGUUAGCUAAUCCUGGUCGGACAUCAGGAGGUUAGUGCAAUGGCAUAAGCUAGCUUGACUGCGAGAGUGACGGCUCGAGCAGGUGCGAAAGCAGGUCAUAGUGAUCCGGUGGUUCUGAAUGGAAGGGCCAUCGCUCAACGGAUAAAAGGUACUCCGGGGAUAACAGGCUGAUA